UACAGAGGGUGCAAGCGUUAAUCGGAAUUACUGGGCGUAAAGCGUGCGUAGACGGUUAUGUAAGUCAGGUGUGAAAGCCCCGGGCUCAACCUGGGAAUUGCAUUUGAGACUGCAUAGCUAGGGUGCGGAAGAGGGAAGCGGAAUUUCCGGUGUAGCGGUGAAAUGCGUAGAUAUCGGAAGGAACACCAGUGGCGAAAGCGGCUUCCUGGUCCAGCACCGACGUUCAGGCACGAAAGCGUGGGGAGCAAACAGG
rnacentral:rRNA from 1 species